AGGCAUAUACAACCAUAAAUCUGUUGCGAGUUGAUAGAUUUUAUUUUGACUCUUUUUUUUAGUGAUGCUCUGCUUUCUUUUCAGGAAAUUUCUAUUUUAAGUCAGCUUCAACAUGAGAACAUAGUUCAAUGUUAUGGCACUAAGGAGGAUGAUAAGAAGCUUUACAUAUUCCUUGAGCUCAUGACUGAAGGUUCACUUGAAACACUUUAAUGCCAAUAUAACUUGAGUGAUCUCCAAGUCUCUGCAUACACUAAGCAGAUUCUAAAUGGUCUAAAGUAUCUUCAUGGCCAGCAUGUGGUACACAGGGAUAUUAAAUGUGCUAACAUAUUGGUUGAUGCAAGAAGUUGUGUGAAACUUGCAGACUUUGGAUUGGCAAAGGUAAUCAAAAAGAAUGAUGCUAAAUCCUCCAAAGGAAGUCUUCGUUGGAUGGCACCUGAGGUCGUCAAUCCAAAAACAAAAGCUAUGGAUCGGCACCUGAUAUUUGGAGCCUAGGGUGCACUGUUUUAGAGAUGUUAACCCGCCGGUAUCCAUAUUCCCACUUAGAAGAAGCACCAGCAGUGUACAAAAUUGGCCAGGGUGAACUUCCUCUAGUUCCCGAUUUUUUAUCAAGCGAUGCACGAGGCUUCAUCUUAUGUUGCUUGCAAGUAGACCCAAAUAAGCGGCCUUCUGCAGCGGAGUUGCUUGGCCAUCCCUUUGUGAGGAAUGCUUCUUCUGGUUUUGCCUUAGCUCAUUUCAACAAUGUACAGUCAUAAGGUUUUGCUAGGCCAUCCCUUUUGGUCCAUGGCUGAAGAUGGGAAUGCCUUUGGCAGCAAUGGCCAUCUAAUAAUUCGGAGAAGAUUGUGGUACCUUGCAAAUGGUCUUGGGCUGCAACUGAUUUUAUGGCGUCUUUGUUCUGCUUGCGUUAACAUCUUGUUUAUCUGGGAAUUGUCAUGUCAUGUUGUAUAUUUCCCGUUGGAAAGAAGGGAAGGAAACAAAGAUGUUGGCGAUGACAAGUUUUCUGCUUUUACGAAGCGUAGAUAGGUGCACAGAACUUAUACAGGAUUUGUAAUCAAUUAAGAUUGGAUGCGCUUGAGAUUCGCAAUGGAAGGCGCAUUUUGUUUCCUUUUUAU